GACGAACGCUGGCGGCGUGCCUAAUACAUGCAAGUCGAGCGAAUCAAUAGGAGCUUGCUCCUGUUGGUUAGCGGCGGACGGGUGAGUAACACGUGGGCAACCUGCCUGUAAGACUGGGAUAACACCGGGAAACCGGUGCUAAUACCGGAUAAUCCUUUUCCUCUCAGGAGGAAAAGCUGAAAGUCGGUUUCGGCUGACACUUACAGAUGGGCCCGCGGCGCAUUAGCUAGCUGGUGAGGUAACGGCUCACCGAGGCGACGAUGCGUAGCCGACCUGAGAGGGUGAUCGGCCACACUGGGACUGAGACACGGCCCAGGCUCCUACGGGAGGCAGCAGUAGGGAAUCUUCCACAAUGGACGAAAGUCUGAUGGAGCAACGCCGCGUGAGCGAUGAAGGCCUUCGGGUCGUAAAGCUCUGUUGUUAGGGAAGAACAAGUACCGGAGUAACUGCCGGUACCUUGACGGUACCUAACCAGAAAGCCACGGCUAACUACGUGCCAGCAGCCGCGGUAAAAC
rnacentral:rRNA from 1 species